rnacentral:misc_RNA from 1 species
GAUGAAGAACGUAGCGAAAUGCGAUACUUGGUGUGAAUUGCAGAAUCCCGUGAACCAUCGAGUCUUUGAACGCAAGUUGCGCCCGAAGCCAUUAGGCCGAGGGCACGUCUGCCUGGGCGUCACACAACGUUGCCCCCCCCAUCUACUCCUUCGGGAUUGCGGGGGGCGGAUGAUGGCCUCCCGUGCGCCUCGCCGCGCGGUUGGCAUAAAUGCCAAGUCCUCGGCGACGCACGCCACGACAAUCGGUGGUUGCGAAACCUCGGUUGCCCGUCGUGUGCGGUCGUCGCGCAUCGAGGGCUCGAAAAAAUUGCCGGGUUCCGGCUCGGCUUUCAACGCGACCCCAGGUCAGGCGGGGUUACCCGCUGAAUUUAAGCAUAUCAAUAAGCGGAGGA